rnacentral:rRNA from 1 species
GUCUACGGCCAGGCCACCCUGCACAAGCCCGAUCCUGUCCGAAGCUCAGCACGGUUGGGCCUGGUUAGUACUUGGAUGGGAGACCACCUAGGAAGACCAGGUGCUGUAGGCG